rnacentral:rRNA from 1 species
UACGGGGGGGAGCAAGCGUUGUUCGGAUUUACUGGGCGUAAAGGGCGCGUAGGCGGUCGUGACAAGUCACUUGUGAAAUCUCUGGGCUCAACCCAGAACGGUCAAGUGAUACUGUCGUGCUAGAGUGCGGAAGGGGCAACUGGAAUUCUUGGUGUAGCGGUGAAAUGCGUAGAUAUCAGGAGGAACACCAAUGGCGAAGGCAGCACUCUGGGACGUGACUGACGCUGAGACGCGAAAGCGUGGGGAGCAAACAGG